rnacentral:rRNA from 1 species
AUCGAACGCUGGCGGCAUGCCUUACACAUGCAAGUCGAACGGCAGAACGGGAGCAAUCCUGGUGGCGAGUGGCAAACGGGCUAGUAAACUACCGGGACGUGCCCAGUCGCGGGGGAUGACGUAGCGAAAGUUACGCUAAUACCGCAUACGGUCUAUGACUGAAAGCGGGGGAGUGACAGAUCUCGCGCGAAUGAAGGGACCGAUAGCCGAUUAGGUAGUUGGGGGGGUAAAGGCUCACCAAGCCGACGAUCUGUAGCUGGUCUGAGAGGGCGACCAGCCACACUGGGACUGAGACACGGCCCAGACUCCUACGGGAGGCAGCAGUGGGGAAUUUUGGACAAUGGGCGCAAGCCUGAUCCAGCCAUGCCGCGUGCGGGAAGAAGGCCUUCGGGUUGUAAACCGCUUUUGUCGGGGAAGAAAUACUCCGGGCUAAUACCCUGGAAGGAUGACGGUACCCGAAGAAUAAGCACCGGCUAACUACGUGCCAGCAGCCGCCGUAA